rnacentral:lncRNA from 1 species
UGGUUUAAAAAAAUAUAAACCCGAUUUAAUUGGGUUGGUUACGGGUUUGAAUAUUUUUAGGCCGAACCAAACCAACCCGAAUAAAAAAUAAAAUAUUUCAAAUAUUAUAUAUAUAUAUGCAUAGCCCAGCACCCCGAAUAUAUUUUAAAUAUAUCAUGUUGUCUAAAUUAGUGAUAUGCAUAGCCCAGCACUCCGAAUAUAUUUUAAAUAUAUCAUGUUGUCUAAAUUAGUGAUUAGUGUUACAAAUAUAUGAUUAUUGUUCACCAAAUGGUAUAUCUUCUGCAAUGUUUCGGAAGGUAAAGUUUCUUAACCUACCCCAGAAAAUUUAUUAUAAAAUAUUUAAGUUACAUGUUUCAGUUUUACCAGAGUAGUCUGAUGUGAUUAUACUGGUACGCAUAGGGG